UGUAAGAAAUGAUUCUGUGGUCAUGUAGAUUUGAAUGAAUGUUUUUGAUUAAAAUGUAUUCAAUAUAAUUGUGUUUUUGAUUUUGAGGCAAAUAUUUAAUUAAAUUUCAAAUAAAAAUGGUUGGAAUAAAAUCUACCCAUUGUAGUUAAAUAAAAUGUAAGCAUUAUAUUUAUCUAAUCCCAAAUGGAGAGAAUAUUGAGUUAAUUCAAAUUAAUGUAAUCGGCUAAUUUUAAUUGAAAAGCACUUCCUGUCGAAGUGAGCCUUUUUAUUUAAAAAAUGCAGCAGGCCUACAAGGCAUUUGAAGAGAGUAGGCUACAGACAGUGAAUGUUCGUUUUCUUCCACAUUGCUCAUCUUGCAAAAUUUGACUGGUUGACUUAGGUAAGAAAACUUAUUUUGUUAUCACUGGGCUACUAAGAAAAACGCAUGUAGUAGUAUAUUACAAUAUAAAAUGAGUUAUCACAGAAAAAGAGACUCAGCAGCAACACAAAGUUGGCUUCUGUUGGAAGGCUAUGUGAUGUUGUUGCGCUAUAAUAUUGACACAGCAUCAUACAUUUUGGAAGAAUUCUUAUGUAUCGAAGUCAAACGUUUAUUUUGAAGGAUGUGGGUUACCUUUUUCUCUAUCAUGGUUCCUAGGUCUUUUGUGUGUUAAUAUCAUAUCCUAAGUAUGUUUUGUAUGAAAUUGCGUAAAUAAGUACAUCGCGUUUAAUUUUAAGGUUCCAUAAAGCGCAAUAUUUGGGGUUUUCGCUGGAUGAGGAUCUUAUAUUUCAGACGGCACUUGACGCAGUUCCGUUGGCUUUACUUCUCGUGUGUGGAGCUCGUCUUCCAGAGGCAGGUAACUUAACUUCUCUCUUUGUUUCACUGUUUUGUAAGUUAACUUAGCUAAAUCCACGUGUAGUCAGUCUAUUAACAGUGUUAUGUUUAAGAGCCACAAUUUUAUUUAUUUUCAUGCAUAAAUCUGUUAAUUUUAAUGUGGUAAUCUUACAUUGGCACAAACUCUAUAAUUUUACAGCUAAACCCUACACUAAAAAUUGAAAAAAAAUAUUCAUACUUUGAUUAAUAAUUAGUCUAACACGUUUUUUUCUCCCACAAAGUUUCAAUAAUGUCAUUAAAAUCUUUAAAAUUACAUUAACUCUUCCUCAUUUACAAUUCCAGAAUGAUUAAAUUGGAAAAUAUUGUGGAGGAGGACUUCAGUACUCUGACAGUGGCAAAAAGUAUUGAAUGUUAGACAGUUUAUAUGAAAGAGGUUUAAAAGGCUAAGAACUGAUGUGAUAUCUUUGUCGCCUUUGUGUUUCAGAUCAAUGCAGAAUUUCAAAGAACAACUACUGUACUUCAGGUACCGAAAUUUAUGUCUGUGUUUGACUGUCACACUCCCAAGCUACUGACGCCAUUUUGUGCCAACGAUGGAGCACUUGGAAGAAGACUGGAGAUCAUAAUGGAAAUGCUGCAGUGAUUGACUUCCUCCCCAGCACUCUUCGAUUGAGAGGACCAGAGAGAUUGUUCCUCGGUAUCUUACAAAAAAUACCUUGGAGAACAAGGGGGACAUCUUAUCAAAGAAUUCAACGACACUGAGAACUUGGAGGAACUUGAACAGCUCAUAAUGGCCAUUAAUGUGACCCCAAAGCGUGGAGCUUCUACAAGCAACUGCCCAAAGAACAUUGGGAUCCUCAUUAAGGGCGUGGAAGUCAUCACAGGACUUGGAGAUAUUUCAAGGGCUUGCAUAGUCCUCUUUGGCUUGACCUACGCGCUGAAUCUUGAUUAUCCCAGACUACUGAAGUACACCUUUGAGGUGUUCCAAUUUUUUUUCUUGGAACUGGAUGAUUCAAAGCUUUCUAACAAAGUCCAGUCCCUCAAGAACAAACUUCAGGCUUGAAAUGGGACUGUAUUGCAGUGCAGACUUUUGUGCUACACAAUGUUCAUCUUCUACAGAGCUUGGGAAUUGCAAUUUUAAGUUGAAGUCAGCAUUUUGUCCUUUUCAAAGUUCUGAAAAAGUUUGAAAUGCUUGAGCAAACUUCUGGCUUUAAAAAAGAGACAGUAGUAGUUGCAGUGUACAUGAUUUGCUACACAAUGUUUAGCUUCUACAGAGCUUGGGAAUUACACAUCUGAAAGUGUUAUGUUUGUAAGUUAGCACUGAUUUGGACUCUUAUCCCACGAAUGUCAGUGAUAUUUCUAGUUCAAAGUACGAAAUGUUUAUUGCUCUGUACAAAUUACACUUUUCUGCUUUUUUUGGUACAUGCACCUCUGGAGGAUUUUCCUUUAAGAUCAUUAUUGACCCAAUUUAGUGGGAUGUGAGAUGAGAAAGCAUGGAAACAGGUUUAUAGACACAUCACAUCAUUCUUUAUGUAAUUUAUUUUUGUUUUUACAAAAUAGUUUAAAGUCAGCAUUCUGUCCUUUUCAAACUUCUGGCUUGAAAUGAGACUGUGGU